UGUAGCACGUGUCGACGCGGUACGGUAAAGGAGAAAGUUGAGUCCGGCAGGUGCGGAGCGGGAGCGAAAGCGAGCUCUAACUGACCGAUCCUUGUAUGGACGUAGACCCGAUGCCGGUCGACCUAAACAUCAGCGGGAUGUAGUGAAAGUAAAAUUUUGUGGAGGUCCGAAACAGGGCGCGUUGAAAAGCUCGGGGAUGUCUUGUGGGUAGCGGUGAAAUUCUAGUCGAGCCCGUAGAUCGCUGGUUCUCCCCGAAAUAGCUUUAGGGCUAGCCUCAAGGUGAGGGAUACGGAGGUAGAGCACUGACUGUCCUCGGGGGUAUUGCACCUACCGAAGACUAUCAAACUCCGCAUGCCGUCAUCUUAUACUUGGGAGGCAGACUGUGGGUGAUAAGAUUAAUAGUCGAAAGGGCAAGAGCCACGACCG
rnacentral:rRNA from 1 species